AUUGAACGCUGGCGGCAUGCUUUACACAUGCAAGUCGAACGGUAACAGGCCUUCGGGUGCUGACGAGUGGCGAACGGGUGAGUAAUGCAUCGGAACGUACCCAGAGGUGGGGGAUAACGCAGCGAAAGCUGUGCUAAUACCGCAUGUGAUCUGAGGAUGAAAGCGGGGGACCGAGCAGCAAUGUUUGGCCUCGCGCCUUUGGAGCGGCCGAUGUCGGAUUAGCUAGUUGGUGGGGUAAAGGCCUACCAAGGCGACGAUCCGUAGCUGGUCUGAGAGGACGACCAGCCACACUGGGACUGAGACACGGCCCAGACUCCUACGGGAGGCAGCAGUGGGGAAUUUUGGACAAUGGGCGCAAGCCUGAUCCAGCAAUGCCGCGUGCGGGAAGAAGGCCUUCGGGUUGUAAACCGCUUUUGGCAGGAACGAAACGGUGUCCGCUAAUACCGGGCGCUAAUGACGGUACCUGCAGAAUAAGCACCGGCUAGCUACGUG
rnacentral:rRNA from 1 species